GACGGAGGAUGCAAGCGUUAUCCGGAAUGAUUGGGCGUAAAGCGUCCGCAGGUGGCAGUUCAAGUCUGCUGUCAAAGACCGGGGCUUAACUUCGGAAAGGCAGUGGAAACUGAACAGCUAGAGUAUGGUAGGGGCAGAGGGAAUUCCUGGGUGUAGCGGUGAAAUGCGUAGAGAUCAGGAAGAACAUCGGUGGCGAAGGCGCUCUGCUGGACCAUAACUGACACUCAGGGACGAAAGCUAGGGGAGCGAAUGGG
rnacentral:rRNA from 1 species